UACAGGGGGGGCAAGCGUUGUUCGGAAUUACUGGGCGUAAAGGGCUCGUAGGUGGCCAACUAAGUCAGACGUGAAAUCCCUCAGCUUAACUGGGGAACUGCGUCUGAUACUGGAUGGCUUGAGUUUGGGAGAGGGGAUGCGGAAUUCCAGGUGUAGCGGUGAAAUGCGUAGAUAUCUGGAGGAACACCGGUGGCGAAGGCGGCAUCCUGGACCAACACUGACACUGAGGAGCGAAAGCCAGGGGAGCAAACGGG
rnacentral:rRNA from 1 species